rnacentral:sRNA from 1 species
GCUGAGCAUUGUUAUGAGUACCUAUAGUCUCAGCUACUGGGAGGCUAAGGCAGGAGAAUCACUUGAGACUAGGAGUUUGGGACCAGCCUGGACAAUAGAGCAAGACCCUGUCUCUU